UAAAAUAAAAAAAAAAUGGUGCUAACUCC
rnacentral:piRNA from 1 species